rnacentral:rRNA from 1 species
GAGUUUGAUCCUGGCUCAGAACGAACGCUGGCGGCAGGCCUAACACAUGCAAGUCGAGCGCUACCUUCGGGUGGAGCGGCGGACGGGUUAGUAACGCGUGGGAAUAUACCCAGUUCUAAGGAAUAGCCACUGGAAACGGUGAGUAAUACCUUAUACGCCCUUCGGGGGAAAGAUUUAUCGGAAUUGGAUUAGCCCGCGUUAGAUUAGAUAGUUGGUGGGGUAAUGGCCUACCAAGUCUACGAUCUAUAGCUGGUUUGAGAGGAUGAUCAGCAACACUGGGACUGAGACACGGCCCAGACUCCUACGGGAGGCAGCAGUGGGGAAUCUUAGACAAUGGGCGAAAGCCUGAUCUAGCCAUGCCGCGUGAGUKAUGAAGGCCCUAGGGUCGUAAAGCUCUUUACACUGUGAAGAUAAUGACGGUAGCAGUAGAAGAAACCCCGGCUAACUCCGUGCCAGCAGCCGCGGUAAUACGGAGGGGGUUAGCGUUGUUCGGAAUUACUGGGCGUAAAGCGUACGUAGGCGGAUUAAUAAGUUAGAGGUGAAAUCCCAGGGCUCAACCCUGGAACUGCCUUUAAAACUGUUAGUCCUGAGAUCGAGAGAGGUGAGUGGAAUUCCAAGUGUAGAGGUGAAAUUCGUAGAUAUUUGGAGGAACACCAGUGGCGAAGGCGGCUCACUGGCUCGAUACUGACGCUGAGGUACGAAAGUGUGGGGGAGCAAACAGGAUUAGAUACCCUGGUAGUCCACACCGUAAACGAUGAAUGCCAGACGUCAGCAAGCAUGCUUGUUGGUGUCACACCUAACGGAUUAAGCAUUCCGCCUGGGGAGUACGGUCGCAAGAUUAACACUCAAAGGAAUUGACGGGGGCCCGCACAAGCGGUGGAGCAUGUGGUUUAAUUCGACGCAACGGCAGAACCUUACCAACCUUGACAUACUUGUCGCGGAUUCAGAGAUGGAUUCUUCAGUUCGGCUGGACAAUGUACAGGUGCUGCAUGGCUGUCGUCACUCGUGUCGUGAGAC